rnacentral:misc_RNA from 1 species
AGACGCCCAAGGGUUGGUUCAUUACUUACAUAGAUAGAGAUUCAGAGACACUUUUUAAAGAGAGAAUGAAAAAUAAGAGAAUGCGUGCAGAUUUAGCUGAGGAAGAGAAGCAAGAGAGAGAGAUAAAGAGGCAAAUUGAGAGGGCUGAGCAAUUAGCACCUUUGGCUUCUGUAUCUGUUGAGCCUUUGGAGGCUGAACAAACGAGAGAGUUGAAAUUGGAUAGUGGGGUUAAGCUAGGAUUUGCUUUGGGAACAUCAUCAAAAUUGAAGGAGAAAUGUGAGAGUUCCAUGGUGGUUUUUGAUGAGGAUGAGACACAUGAGACUGCCAAGGGGAAACCUGUAGAGAAUUCCAAAAACAAGACGGCUGGUGGUGGUCUGUCAGCUUUGGAGGCAUUGAUGAGAGAAGAA